rnacentral:lncRNA from 1 species
UUUUUUUUUUUUUUUUUUUUUGGAUGGAUAUGUGUAGGAUUGGAAGUGUCAGUCAAGUGGUAACUGUUAAGACACUUUUUUCUAUCUAGCAGUGUUUCCCCAAACCACUAUAUGGUUCACAUUCUGACCAGAAGACUCCACAGGUCCGAAAUCUUCACUUCCGUUUUCAAGUCUUUUUUCUUACAGUCCUAGUAGUGCCAUUUUGUUGUUUUGAUGUUGGUUUCUCCCAUGAAUAAUGGUGUUGAGUAUCUUUUAAAAACUAUUAAUUUUAUUAACUGUUCAAAGUUAACUCGCAAAUCUCCAAUGGAAGCAUUAGCCUGACAUUUACAUCUAUUAACGAGGAUAGAUGAAGGGACACAGAGCAUAUUUUAUUAACUCUGACAUAUACAUUUUUCACGUGUAACAGCACCACCAUAUUUCAUGGUAAAUGUAUUGCACCUACAAGAAAGGCAUUUUGCAAAUGAAAAUAUAUUUUACAGUUAAGUAGUAUAUUGUUUUAGGUUCUGUAAUCCCUAUUAACAACUAGUAAAAAAAAAAAGUAUUCUCAAAUUAAGACUUCUCUUAUUACCAGAUUAAGAUUGUAAAUAACUUAUGAUUGGCCUACUCUGUUCUACCAUGCUGUGGCCCAUCUUUAUUAAUUUGAUACAAUAUUUAUCCUCAUUCUGAGAAAAAAACUGAAGACAAAUUUUAAAAAGAAGGAAAAGGGAAAAAAAGCCGGAUGAAUUCACAAACCCCAUUAUUUCCUCACAAAGAGAAACAUUAAAUUCCGAUUAAGUAUUCAGAACUUGCGCUUUUGUAUUGACUUAGUUCACUGUGUCUGUGGCAUGAGGGACUUAGGUAAAGUCACAUUGUCAUUUAUCAUGCUUCGGCUCGCUCUCAUCUUGGGGAGACAGAUGGUGAGAAAGAGCAGUGGCGCUAAUCUUUUAUUGAUUUCCAUUGUACUCAGAUCUUGUACAGAGAGGCCUUGUUAUGGCUAGAAUAUAAGAAUCAUGUGGUUGUUUCAUUGAUGUUUAUAUGCAACUUAACAUUUUAAAAUCACUUCCCGAAUCAGGGUAGACAAAAUCCACGCUGUGUAGUCGUUUUCCCUAUUUCCUUCAAAGUCACACAUUGAUGGCAUCUUGUGACACUUUUAAGACUAAAGGGCUCACGUGGGGACAAGCCUGUUGGCAAUGAUAAGAGUUUUGAAUGUUCUGACUCAGAUAAUUCAUAGAUUACUCUUUCUUCUGCCCCAGUUCCCACUCUGUGACUGCCAUUAUUGUUCAUUCUGGGCUCUUGAGUGUCACACAGGUAAAGUCGUCUGUGUAAGGGAUCUUCAGUUCUUACCUGGUAGCUUCUAUAGUCCUAGACUUUCUCCCCUUAACUUUUCCUCUCUCAUCACUCUUCAAAUGAAAACCAUUUGUCUUUUUCUAAAUCAUCUCCUGGAUGUAAUCUUUUUUCUCAGGAGUCUUCCAAGAAAAAUGGGUUUUGAAGCAUAAUUCUUGAAAUGGCAGUGGGCAAAUGGAACUCAAAAUAUGGCAGAAGACCUUGUAUUUGCGUGUCUGCGAGCUUAAUUUAUAGUAACUUCUUUAUAAUUCUUUAUUGUCACUGCUUGUUUUUCAUUAAUUUAAGGUCUCACAAUGAGUUACUAAAUAUGCUUUUGAUUCAUAUGAAUAGCAGGUGUCAGUAACUUAAGUAAGGCGUCCUGUCUGCUAAUCACUUCCUUACCACUCAGUGUGAGGUAUUUCCUGCCACCCCUUCUCCCCUUAUAUGAAGAAACACAAGUCUUAUCCUGUGGGCUGUUUCCGUUGUGUCUCCCAGUGUGCCUGUCCAAUGAUAGCUGUAUAGCCCACAAUUCUGAAUCAGUGCAGAGGCCUCCAGCAGUUCCUUACAUGGUUGUUUUCCUUGCGGGUUGGAUUGGGGAUUAGAGAUGGGAAUUCUAUUCUUUAUUCCUUUGGUUGCGUUUUCAAGUGUGGCUGUGGAUAGAAGUAAUUGUGGUGUCCCGUCUGUGGACUGGGUAAUUUUGAAGAUUUAUGUGGCCUUGGGGUGGUUGGAAGUAUGUAAAGAGGUGAGUUUGAAAGGCUUUGGAUCCAGUUUUGGAAUGCUUACGCACAGUGCUUAGAAGGUUCCAGUUAGGAAUGUGAACAACUCGCCCAUUUUAGAAUAGUUCUGACAGGAAAUGGAUGCAACUAAGUUUUAAAUUAAUAUAUUUGGAGAAAUCUCUCUGGGAUCAUAGUUAGAUAGCCAAAACUAAUUUCUAUUAAUGGAAAAUUCUAAAAUCAAAAAAAAAAUUGUAGCCAUACCUUUCUUGAUCCUAGCUAUAUUAUACAGGGUCAGGACAUUAUUUUCUAAGUAUGAUUCAAUGCUUAUAGCUUAGAUUUUCCUUGUUUUCUAAAUCCAAGAUGGAUCCUUUUUUUUUUUUUUUGAGAUGAGUAAAAUACUAAAUGACAGAAAGCAUUCUGAAUGAAGAGUCCUUCAGAACUUCAUAGUUAAGUUCCAUGCAUAACCAGUGCCUUAUCCUUAUUGAAUUCAUGGCUU